CCUUGACAUACUAAGAACUUUCCAGAGAUGGAUUGGUGCCUUCGGGAACUUAGAUACAGGUGCUGCAUGGCUGUCGUCAGCUCGUGUCGUGAGAUGUUGGGUUAAGUCCCGCAACGAGCGCAACCCUUUUCCUUAUUUGCCAGCGGGUCAUGCCGGGAACUUUAAGGAUACUGCCAGUGACAAACUGGAGGAAGGCGGGGACGACGUCAAGUCAUCAUGGCCCUUACGGCCAGGGCUACACACGUGCUACAAUGGUCGGUACAAAGGGUUGCUACCUCGCGAGAGGAUGCUAAUCUCAAAAAGCCGAUCGUAGUCCGGAUCGCAGUCUGCAACUCGACUGCGUGAAGUCGGAAUCGCUAGUAAUCGCGGAUCAGAAUGCCGCGGUGAAUACGUUCCCGGGCCUUGUACACACCGCCCGUCACACCAUGGGAGUUUGUUGCACCAGAAGUAGGUAGCCUAACCGCAAGGAGGACGCUUACCACGGUGUGGCCGAUGACUGGGGUGAAGUCGUAACAAGGUAAGCGUAGAUGA
rnacentral:rRNA from 1 species